rnacentral:rRNA from 1 species
UCAAAAACAUGGUCUUUUGUUAAUAUAAAAGAUCUGACCUGCCCUAUGAUUUAUUUAAAUGGCUGCAGUAUUUUGACUGUACAAAGGUAGCAUAAUCAUUUGUCUUUUAAUUGAAGGCUGGUAUGAAUGGUUGGAUGAAAAAUAUACUUUCUUUAUUUUAUAUUAAAAAAUUAAUUUUUUAGUCAAAAAGCUAAGAUAUUUUUAAAGGACGAGAAGACCCUAUAGAACUUUAUUUUCUAUAAUAUAUAAAUUUUUUGGGUUUUUAUAGAAUUAUAUAUUAAUGUUAAUUUUGUUGGGGUGAUGGAAAAAAUUAUAUAACUUUUUCUAUUUUUUGCAUUUAUUUAUGUUUUUUUGAUCCUUUAUUAUGGAUAAUAAGAUUAAGUUACCUUAGGGAUAACAGCGUUAUUUUUUUGGAGAGUUCUUAUCGAUAAGAAAGUUUGCGACCUCGAUGUUGGAUUAAAAUAAGUAAUAGGAGUAGAAUAUUAUUUACUGGGUCUGUUCGACCCUUAAAUUUUUACAUGAUCUAUUUUCC